CCUACGGGGGGCAGCAGUGGGGAAUAUUGCACAAUGGGGGAAACCCUGAUGCAGCAACGCCGCGUGCGUGAAGAAGUAUUUCGGUAUGUAAAGCUCUAUCAGCAGGGAAGAAGAAAGACGGUACCUGACUAAGAAUCCCAGGCUAACUACGUGCCAGCAGCCGCGGUAAUACGUAGGGGGCAAGCGUUAUCCGGAUUUACUGGGUGUAAAGGGAGCGUAGGCGGCUGUGAAAGUCUGAAGUGAAAGCCCGUGGCUCAACCGCGGAACUGCUGUGGAAACUGUAUAGCUUGAGUACUGGAGAGGCAGUCGGAAUUCCUAGUGUAGCGGUGAAAUGCGUAGAUAUUAGGAGGAACACCAGUGGCGAAGG
rnacentral:rRNA from 1 species